UAGUUUAUGUAGAAGUUGCGCCGCCUGUUUGAACAAGCUAUAAUGCUCGAAAGUGUAGCAGAUAUAAUGUGUUGAGUUAUGGAUGGAGAUGUACAAUUGAAAGUUUCAAUUUAUUGAUUUCUUAACUGAGGCCCCACUUAAUGUGUAGUUAUUUUAGGUUAAAGGCUUAGUUACACUUAAUAUAUAACUUCUGGCUUAUACAAAAUAAAAGUAACAAAUUUUCCUAGAACAGCGAAUUAUUUGUGAAAAUAUGUUCAUAUAUAAAUUCACUUAUUUUGCCAAAUAAGAAUAUCUGGGUUUCUCAGUAAUAACAAGUCAGUAGCAUACUUUUCGGAAAAACUAACGAUUUAAGGCCUGGAUCAUGCCCGACAACUGGAUACUUUGACUUCGUGAAAACGGCUGCAAGAUGACGAUACCAGUAAUUAACAACCACUUCAAAAUUACAGUACUGGUUCUUUUCGCAACAUCCCAUAUAUUUGUACAUGCAAUAAAUGACCCAUAUACUAUAUUAGGGGUAAAAAACAUUGCUACUACACAGGAAAUAAGAAGAGCUUACAAGCAACUGGCAAAAGAAUGGCAUCCAGAUAAAAUUCAUAAUGAUGGUGCUUCCGAAAAUUUUAUAACUAUUAAAUUAGCUUAUGAACUCCUAAGUGACACGGAUCGACGACUACUUUUCGACCGACAUGGAAUAACGGAUGAAGAUUCUCAUUAUCUACAAAAAAAAUAUGAUUAUAGUGGAUAUAAUCGGUUUUCAAUAGAUCGAGAUGAGGAUACUUUCGGAAAACGAUUUGUUAUUGACCAGAACAUAGUAUUGUACCAUAAAUUAUCUGUAACAUCAAACUACUUCGAGAAGAAUAUUUUAUCAAGUGGGGCAAAAAAAGUGCACCUUGUCAUGUUUUACAAUGAUUGGUGUUUUAAAUGCACUCGAAUCGUCAGCGCCUUCAAAAAGAUAAUUGAUGAACUCGAACCAUUAGGAAUCAACUUUGCUACAGUCAAUGCCGUACACGAAGAGUCGACGUUUCGAAAAACUGGUGCAGUUCAAGUUCCGCAACUAGUUCUUAUUUUGGAAGGCCGUUUUUUUCUUUAUCGCGAACACACAUUUACAUUAAAAAAAAUUGUUGACUUUAUACGUAAAAAACUACCACUUAACAUUUUUCAACACAUUGAAAAUGACAAUUUAAAUGAUUUUCUUGGUGGAUGGAUGGACAACAGAGUAAGAGCUUUAGCAUUUGAGCCUCGCAAUUUGAUAAGAUUACGGUACCUACUUACCGCAUUUGAAUUCCACGACCGCAUCGCAUUUGGGUUUGUGAAUAUGAAUAAUGGUCGCUCAAACAAUAUAAUUGAUCUCUUUAAAGUCAAUACGAGCCUGGAUACCGUUCUUAUAUUUAAUGAAGAUUCAAAAAGUUACACAGCAAGUGUUUGUAUGGCGGAAAUCCCAACUCAAACCUUGAUAGAUGUUGUUUCUGCUAAUCAAUUUUUGGUAUUACCCAGAUUAUCAUCACAGGCCAUAUUUGAAAGUGUGUGCCCGACUGAAUGGAGCCGUCCUAGAAAACGUUUGUGCGUUAUACUUAUUACUGAAAAUAAUAGAAGACACGAUGUUGCAAGAGUCGCCUUACGGGAUAUUGCUUUGAAAAGUAAUUAUAGUUUAGAAAGAGUCCGAUUCGCUUAUAUGUUUAAGGAAACUCAACCAGAUUUUAUUAAAGCAAUCUCAAAAGGAUCCUAUAAGAAAAGCUUAUUACAAAUUGUUAUUAUUUGGCGAAGGGAUGAUAAACAUAUAAUGUAUGAAUGGGUCAGUGUUGCUAAACAAAAUGAUAAUAUUUUAACAGAGAGUCUCAUCAAUUCAACUAAAAGCGAAAUUUCGUAUACGGUAAAAAAGCUUUUAAAGUCUUCAGAAACUUUUAGCUAUGAAGCUUUUGUGCAGAAUCUUGUUAAUGAGCAUUCUCAAGGAAUUUUAGCGAAAUGGAUUUCCCGACUGUUAUAUUUAGUCGACUAUCUAUCUGAUAAUAUUGAGGACGAGCACCUUCUAGCAGCUGUAUCCGUUUUAGGAACAAUUGCGUUUAUGUUUGUUGUUGGCUAUAUACUAAUGUACUUUGUAAGGGCUGAAGAGCAAAAUCUUAAGUCGCAAGGUCAUCUUAUUAAUAAUCAAGGAUACUCCGAUUUCGGGACCCAAGUUUGGAGUCUAAAGUCCAAAAGUUAAUCGGGCCAAUCAAAUAAUUGCCAUAUUUGGAUGGAUCCAGCGGAGUUAAGCCGAUACAUUGCCAGGGUUGAGUACCUUCUACAACUAUACCCUACUCUAGAUGCCCGACAAUCUCACAUAGCAUAUGGAGCAACCGAAAGGACCAUUGUCGUUGACUCGGCGCAAGCAGUCAUCGAAGAAGAAUAAUCCAAUGCUUGGGUAACUACGAAAGCAGCUCUUAUCAAGGCCUUCAAGGACCACGAGCCGUAUGAAGACAGCAUUCAGCAUAUCCGGGACACCCCAUAUUAAGGAAGCAUUAGUAAAUUCGUGAAUGAACUCAAAAUUAGAUAUUCAAAAGUACACAAUAUGCAAUCGCAGCACUUGCUAACUUAAAAGAAGCAACAAUGAUUUUAGGCCAUUGGGACGCAGACCCAUUCGAUAACUAUAAACCCAGACGUCAUGAUAAUCUAAGUAAUUCGGGAGGUUCACAUAAAAAUUAUUAUCAAAAAUUUUAUAAUCAAUUACCAAGCUAUCCAAGAUAAUAAUUCAACAAAUCCUCGAGGUUCACCAAAUAAAAAUCAAAUUCCCUCCAAGAACCAAGACCAGCAGCAUAAUAAUCUGAUCCCGGAACUGAAAUUAUAUGAACUAAGAGCUG